GACGAACGCUGGCGGCGUGCUUAACACAUGCAAGUCGAACGGAAAGGCCCUGCUUUUGUGGGGUGCUCGAGUGGCGAACGGGUGAGUAACACGUGAGUAACCUGCCCUUGACUUUGGGAUAACUUCAGGAAACUGGGGCUAAUACCGGAUAGGAGCUCCUGAUGCAUGGUGGGGGUUGGAAAGUUUCGGCGGUUGGGGAUGGACUCGCGGCUUAUCAGCUUGUUGGUGGGGUAGUGGCUUACCAAGGCUUUGACGGGUAGCCGGCCUGAGAGGGUGACCGGCCACAUUGGGACUGAGAUGCGGCCCAGACUCCUACGGGAGGCAGCAGUGGGGAAUAUUGCACAAUGGGCGGAAGCCUGAUGCAGCAACGCCGCGUGCGGGAUGACGGCCUUCGGGUUGUAAACCGCUUUCGCCUGUGACGAAGCGUGAGUGACGGUAAUGGGUAAAGAAGCACCGGCUAACUACGUG
rnacentral:rRNA from 1 species